UGCCCAAGAGAUCGGGAUAACACCUGGAAACAGAUGCUAAUACCGGAUAACAACAGAUGAUGCCUAUCAACUGCUUAAAAGAUGGUUCUGCUAUCACUCUUGGAUGGACCUGCGGUGCAUUAGCUAGUUGGUAGGGUAACGGCCUACCAAGGCGAUGAUGCAUAGCCGAGUUGAGAGACUGAUCGGCCACAUUGGGACUGAGACACGGCCCAAACUCCUACGGGAGGCAGCAGGG
rnacentral:rRNA from 1 species